AGCUCCAAUAGCGUAUAUUAAAGUUGUUGCAGUUAAAACGCUCGUAGUUGAAUCUCGGGUCGGAGGGCAGCUGCGGGUCAAAGACCUUAGCGGAGGCCGCCGGCUGAUAUUUCCGGAGGGGUCCGUGUGGCCUUAGUUGGCUGUGCGGAGAUGCCGCUCCGGACGUUUACUUUGAAAAAAUUAGAGUGUUCAAAGCAGGCGUUUUCGCUGUGAAUACAUUAGCAUGGAAUAAUGGAACAGGACUUUGGUCGUGUUUUGUUGGUUUUAAUGGCCGAAGUAAUGAUUAAUAGGGAUAGUUGGGGGCAUUCGUAUUUCGAUGUCAGAGGUGAAAUUCUUGGAUUUUCGAAAGACGAACUACUGCGAAAGCAUCUGCCAAGGAUGUUUUCAUUAAUCAAGAACG
rnacentral:rRNA from 1 species